rnacentral:lncRNA from 1 species
GGCCCAAUCUUCUCAAACUUAUGGGUGCAGCUCUUCUUUUGCUUGAGCCACAUAAAGCUGGUUUCUCUCACGAUCCUGCACUCUUCGAUGUCUUUGAGGGGCAGAAGGCCAUUGGGGAGGCAGAUUUCUGAGAGAAGCUCCUUUGAUUUCUGUUGGUAGAUUUCAUCUUCAUGGUAGAGCUCGUCUGCCUUGGACUUGAUCUUUGCUGUGAUGAAAGAAGACAUUUUGGUUUUUUUUAUCCGCUUCUUUUCAAUUUCUGGAGGUUUUUUUUUUUUU